AAAAAAAAAAAGAAAAAGAAGGGCCAUUGAACGUUGCCAUUGGAAUCCUAACAUUAGAGUUCCACUUGGGAGCUAACUCACAAAAGGAAGGGGAAAAAUCCUAGGGUUUGCGAGUGCUUAUGUUCGGGGAAAAUCCUAAGGUUUGGGUUUCGAUGAAAUUGACUUCUCUCUACGCUCUCUAUCUUCGAUCGACAUUGGCUUGAUCACCACAACCCAAAUCAGUAACUCCCACUCUUCUCACAGAUCUGACUCACCUUUGCUCUAUCAGGGCAUACUUGUGAAUGUUCCACUGGAGAAAUAGCUCAGGCCAUGGUGGUAAUGUCCUAAUAUUUUAACAAGUCAUCUAGAGUAUGAUGUUGAAUAGUGUGUGUUAAAUGCCCUGUUACCUAUAGUACUACAACUUAACAUGCCUACCAUCUAGCAACUAAUUUGAUUGUUAUAUAUAAUACUACUAAUGCUAAUGCCCUACCAUUUUGAUUACCAGUAGCAACACUACAGUCUUGGAGCAUUUUUCACCUGCUAAUUCUGUGCAGUUUCAAUCUAUUCUUGAUGAAAUGAAUAGUUGUGUUCUUUAAUCAAGAGAAAAGCAUAAAACCAAGCAAACUUAAAAUAUUUAUUGCUUAUUAUAUAUAAAGAAAAUUCAUGUUCGAGUAAUGUAACAUAUAGCAAUACCCUACAUGACACCCAAUAAUUGUUUCUCGGGUGAGCAAGUCUCUUUUCUCUUGUUCUCGACACUUUAUUGCCUGAAGUGUCAUAAUAGUAACUACUAACAAAAAUCGUAAACUAGUUUUGGGAAAACAUUUGUGUAAAAACAGAGAUUAAUGAUAUUGAAAAUUUAUCAGGUAAAUUACCAUGAGAAAUUAAAGACAAUCAAUCAUGGUUUCCCAGCUAAUGACAUGUUUAAGCAAAGGGUAAUAAAUGAUGGUUGUGAUUAAAGUAACUUGUCAAAAUUCAGCAAAAAUAGAUCCCUUGUUUAGGUAAUGCAUUUCCUUUCCAUCUAUUUCUUUAUUAUUUUACUCAUGAAUUUUCUUUAUUAAUGGUAGAGUUGACUUUGGUGCAGGUGCUUCAAAAGUAAUUAGUGUAUUUUUUCAUUAAUGGGUAUUAUCUUAAAUGAUUUCUCUGCUCUAUCACAAUAACCAAAUUAUACCUGGGGAUGAGAAACCUGAAAGACUUAUAAUUCUCAUUUUCAUUGUAAAGAAGGUGAAUUUUUUGUUUUUGUAUUUUAUUUUAUUUUUUAACAAAGACAAUUGGGAUAAGUAUUUGGUUCACAUGAAUUUGAAUCUUUGGGUGUUUGGCUUAUUAAUUUAUGUUGCUUUUGUUUUGUUUAUUUGAUUCUUUCUUUUUUCUUCUUUCCCAUUCAUAAUAUAUAUGGAAAACAGAGACAUUAUGUUAUCAUCAAAGCAUGGAAAAUUAUAGAUUCAAAACAAUUUCUUAAAAUAAAAUAGGAGAAACUAGCUUUGAUUCAGGCAUGGGAAGAAAAUGAAAAAUCAAAAGCAGAGUGUAGUACAAUUCUAUGAGGCCGAUUCUAGCAAUUACAAGGAACUUAUAAGAACUCGAUUUGGGCAUUAACUUCCAGAAAUAUUAUUGAAGUACUAUAGCGGUACACGCUUUUCAUAGAUAUGAAGAUUACCUUUUUUUCGGAUAUGUAAAUAUUUAUUUGUUUAAUUUUUGUUUCUGAUAUUAUCAUAAUGAUAUUGACUUUGUUAAAGUAGGAACAAUGUUUUGAUUUUAUUUUAUUAGUAAAGAAUAAUAUUGCUAUAUUUGUGUCAAUU